rnacentral:rRNA from 1 species
AGCAGCCGCGGUAAUUCCAGCUCCAAUAGCGUAUAUUAAAGUUGUUGCAGUUAAAAAGCUCGUAGUUGAACUUCGGGGUUUACCCAUUGGUCAGGCUUAAUUGUCUGUACUGGUGAGAUGAAUCUCUACCUUCUGAGGAACUUUCAUGCCAUUUAUUUGGUGUGAUGGGAAAUCAGGACUGUUACUUUGAAAAAUUAGAGUGUUUAAAGCAGGCUAACGUCUGAAUACAUUAGCAUGGAAUAAUGAAAUAGGACGGACUGAUUCUAUUUCGUUGGUUUCUAGGAUCACCGUAAUGAUUAAUAGGGAUAGUUGGGGGCAUUAGUAUUCAAUUGUCAGAGGUGAAAUUCUUGGAUUUAUUGAAGACUAACUACUGCGAAAGCAUUUGCCAAGGAUGUUUUCAUUAAUCAAGAACGGAGUUAGGGGAUCGAAGACGAUCAGAUACC